AUUAUUUUAGUUGACAUUGAUAGGAAUUCAUCUGAAAAAGUGGACAGUACUUGUCAUCUCUUAUUUCUGAAUUCCCUUUGUACUUUAACUUUGUUUUUGACUUCAUUAACAAUUUUUUUUUUUUUUUUGAUGGAGUAUUGACACACAAGAGUCAACAUUCUAGCUUGGACUUCAGGCGCAACAUCAAUGUAUUCUUGAAACUAAUCUCAUCAAAAUUAAUAGCCCUAUGCUUUUCUCCAAAUCUAAAUAUGAUGUUUCAACUUCAUUUUAGAGUUUUCACUUCACAUCAGGAAUGUGUUACUUAACAUUUAAAGAUUCAUGUAGUAAGUAUUUCUUUUUAGUAAUUGGUAAUUGGUUGGUCAAAUGAGAUUUUAAGUGUUAAUUCUAUCACUCAUGAAAUAGUUGUAUUUGUAUUUACCUGUUACU